GUCAAACCAUUGAACUAUAAAUAAACUGGAAGGCUAACUCAGGGGGGGGGGGAAUUGAAGCCAGUGCAUUUUAGUUUUUCUGAGUUAUGAGCAGAAAUACUCAACACUGAACGUUGGGUUAUAUAUCAAAUUGAAGCUAUUGAAAAACGCUAUUUGGUGUAGAAAUUUCAGGACUUUAGCUAAAAGGGAAAUAUUGAAAAACUACAAACAUAAUUACCGAUAAUUUGCCGUUUUGCAGUUGUUUUUGUAUUUUUUAAAUAUUUUUCUUUUCGCUGAAGUCUUGAAAUUUCCACACCGAAUAGCAAUUUUCAAUAGCUUCAAUUUGAUAUAUAGCCCGACGUUUGGGAUCAAGUAUUUCUCAGAAAAACUAUUUUGGCUUCAUCAAAUCAUAGGCCUUCAUCAUAGCAGUUAGCCUUCCAGUUUAUUUAUAGUUCAAUG